AGGUUUUCUAUUGCAACUAUUCACUAUUAGAAAGGUGAAACACCUAUAUCAUUUCACUAUUAUUUCUUCCUUCAAUUGGUCUUCAUUCUUUCUUCCUCGAUAUAUUAUCACUUAGCACCUCUUGGGCGCAAUCAGCUAUACGGUGAAUUUUAUUAAAAAGGAAUGAAAUUCAUAUGGCCCCUAAAGCUCCAGGAAAGUUGUUUUUUCCAGUUAGUAAUUCAAACUAAUUCUGAUAUUGUUGUUCAUCGUAUAUUUAGUACACAUAUUCUAAUUUUCUUAUUGUAUAAUCAUUUUUUCCCUAGAAAAAGCUUGAUGAUUCCUGCUUCAAGUGAAUCAAAUUAUGAUAUUUUCUCAUGGAUGCUACACAAAGGAAACAAAUUAUAGAAGAAUUCUUUGUUUCUUGAGAAUCAAAAAAUCAUGUUAUAAUUAGUAGAUACCAUGUUAAUUCAACUCAAUCCAUUGGAAUCUCCGCUUAAUUCUUACAUGAAAGAUUUUGAUCGAAACUUGGGUUCGCACUAUACUUGCGGUGGGAAGUAAGAUGAGAGAUGAGUGUAAUGUAUAUCAUUGGUUUUUAUUUCUAUAUAUGAACUGAAUUUCAGUAUUUUGUUGCUUCAAAAUUAAGCUUCCAACAGAAACUGUUGUACCGGUUAUAAAGUUGAACUCUGCGAGAUACAUGCCUAUUCGAUGUACAUAAUGCCUAAGCCAAUUAAGGUUCUUUCAUUUGACCUAUAUCUAUCCACAUUGCUGGGAGAGCUUCUUGCACAUCUAAUUAUAAAGAGUCUGAUAGGGACGAAACAUUGAGGUUAUUGAAAUAGUCAGGAUUUUUGAUAUUUGUAUGUUCCUCGGUGGGUGUUUUCUUGUGAACCAGCUGAAGAUGUUGACUCAGAAGACACGAGGAGUAUAUCAGGUAUGACAACCAUUAUGCCACCAAAUGGAAGUGAUGCAAUAAAGCCAGUUUCUUCUUACCUUUAAUGCAAAAGAAAAUUUGUCCUUGUUCAUGACAUGGAAAUUCCAUGAUUAUGACCACCAACUCCGACUAUUUUAUCGUCUUGAUUGCUUAUCUGAAGGCAUCAUAGCUUCCGAUAUCAUGAGUCGGUUUCCUCCUUACCGUCUCCUCCCACCUCCAGUGUCAUCUAAUCAAACGUUUAGAGUGACAUUUAUACCAAAUCGAUCUCAAUGAAACUGAUUUUAUACUCUCAAUUUUCGACUUCAUUCCACCCAAAUGUUGGAUACAAGAAGAUUCUGCUCCACCACAUCUGCCUGCUCUCUCCUUCUUUGACGCUUCCCAGGCCAUAUCAGUUAUGAGAUAAUGGAUGAUGACGAUGAGUACAAUAGUAUUGAAAAGGGAAAAGUUAGAGCAGUUACAACAAUGUUAUUAAUGUCAUCGAAGUUAGAAAUAAAUGUUCUUAAGCGAAGCCUUGCAACGGGACCUACAGAUGAUCCUUUUGAUGCGUUGGACUUAGGGGAGCUUCAACAGUUGAUAUAUUGUUGAAGCGGUCGUGUACUGGAAAUCAUCGUGUUGUCCUGUUUGCACAUAUGACCACGAUGUUGAAUAUUAUCGAGUAAUUGGAACCCAACUCUUCAUUUACGAGAGCUAUGGACAGGGCUCAUCGAUUGGGUCAAACCAAAGAUGUUAUCGUGUACAUGUUAUCAGUGAUUUCAUCAGCAGGUAAAGGUAUCAAUCGAUCCUUCCAGCAACACGGGUUAAGGAGAGGUUGUAAAAGAGGGUGGUCGUGAAUUUUCUCAUAAGGGUAAAGAAAUGUUGAAUCGAUUGGAGAGCAAAUUUAUUUGCUCAUUCAUGAACUGCUAAGCGACUAUAGUUUUUUUUUUUUUUUAUUUAUGUUUUUCAUUACUAUUUGUGUAUACUAUAUUUUUGAUAUGGUAUGGUAGGCUUUAAAUUUGGU